GGCGAUAGCUUAGUGGUAGAGCACUUGCUUUGCAUGCAGAAGGACACAUCUUCAAUUUCUGGCAUCUCCA